UCAAACUUGUGAAAACACAACUAAAAGGUAGCAGUGAAUAUAAAACAGUUGUAGGCCUGCACAGUAAGACGCCCGACAGAAAACUGACCACGUUCUCGUUUUUCCAAGCGGCUGCGCCUCAAUAUGCCUGCUGCUGCUCACGUGACGCAUAAGACGCCCAAUCAAUAAUUACGGGAGAAGGAAUGAAAAUGAACCAAAGUGAUUGAACCACAUUCAAGAGUUGACAGCAUGAAGGGCGGACGAUCUUGCUGUAGCGGCAAAGCAAGCUACCACGACUAAGUCAACAGGCAGCUAUAAGCAAAGACCGAACUGUAUUUCAUUUAGAACUGCUACUCAGUUAAAACGUGAAGGGAUAUGGGAACGUUUAGAUGCUAUUAACUUUUCAAACUCAAAGCUACAAGGAAUUGCAGAACGAAAGGGUAACUUGCUUGAAGCAACAUGUAAGACGAGAGAGGAUGUAUUAGACCUGCAAGAAAAGCUGCUAAAUUUGGAAAACGUUUACACAGUACUUUUAUUUGUUACCGAUAAAAUAACGGUGGCAAUAGGAUGGACCCCAGUACCAAUGCAAAAUGAGAGUUUAGUGCGUUAUCUAGAAAAAAAACAUUACACGAUUCACGCAAUUAAAACGAGGAAUGAACACUGGACUGCGUGUUGCAGUUAUGACAAAGGACAGUCUGAAAGCGAACCCGAUCCCGAGCUACAAACUACAUAACUGGACUGUGUGCGUGCAACAAAGAAGGACUGGUAUUAAAUGACACGUCAAAUUUCUUUUGUUGAAGUUGCAAACAGUCGCAACUUGUUAGGAAACCAUGAAUGGUAUUCUCGGCUACCGACUAAAAUUUAGUCCAUGGUUUUUACAUUUAGUCAGCCGACUAAGUUUCUGUGCAUUACGUAUUACAGAAGUUAGUCAAAAUCCACCGACUAAAAUUUUAGUCAGCCGACUAGUUUAUUUGGUAGCCGAGAAUGCCAACCCAUGUUGCGGAUGAUCGAUGACUGGAACUGUCUAGAAACAGUCACAAUGGUCCAUUGUAUAUAUUGUAACGAAGAGAUUCUGAAAACUGAUUCGAAAUACGAUAAAGAACAUCAUGACUGAUAUAUCUCCAUAUACAUACAACAUGUCAAUACUACAAAUAGCUUCAUUCAAUGUAGGGGGAAUUGGAAACACAAAGAAAAGGAGAAGUAUUUUCAACUUUUUAAAGUUUAAAAUUUUGAUAUUAUUAUGCUGCAAGAAACACACUGUACAACGGAAUUGGUUAAACAGUGUGAGCUAGAGUGGAAAGAUUUUAUUUGCAAAUGGAACAAACAAGUCAGCCGGUGUUGCAAUACUGAUUAAACGAAAAUGCAACUUCGUUGUAUCCAAUACUGUCAGCCAUCCUAGUGGACGUUACCUGCUGACGAAUGUCACGAUCAAUGAUAAAGAAAUCACCGCAGUAUGUGUGUAUGGCCCUAAUCACUACGACGAAUGCUUCUAGAAUAACCUGGUAGAGCAGGUGUCGAAAUUUUCAUUACCCGAUUUUAUUGUCGCAGGAGAUUUCAAUACUAUCCUUUUAAACAUCAUGACGAAGACUUUGUUAAAACAAUCAAAGGGGAAAGAAGGGAUUUUAACGUUUUAAUUUAAACGGCGGGGUGUCACCUGCAAUAAUUUGGGAUACGAUAAAAGCUGUCUUAAGAGGAAUAUGCAUCCAAUACAGCUCACGGUUACGUCGUAAGAACCAAAAAGUGCAACUCACACUUGAAGAAGAGAUCUCCAAGAAAUCGACUCUACUUAGUUCUGUUCAACCACAACACAGAGAGCUAUCAUCCAUCAAGGUGGUGAUCUCCAGAAGCAGCUAGACGAACUCAGCCUAAACCAAACUAGAGGAGCAAUUAAAAGAAGUCAUCCACUUCUGUUGAAAUACUUUCGGCGCAGCUAAUAGCUUUUGAGCGCUGGCCUUAAUUAUAUGCGCUGGCCUUAACGUCAUCUAUUUUGAUUUUGGAAAUAUUUGAGGUCGCCUGCAUUAGGUUAAAUAUUUGAGGGGAAAUAUUUGAGGUCGCCUGCCUAUUAAGGUCGCCUGCAUUAGGGUAAAUGGAUUUGGCAUGAUGAAGACGACGUCGAAACGUUGGAAUAAAAUCGUAUCAUUGCCAGAAUAGUUUUAUUAAAAAGUUGACGUGCAGACAUCGUUGCUCAGUGGUCACAUGGAGCUUCAAAAACAGUAAAAUGUAAAAACACGUGCGUCAUUGACGUUCAAAACAACGUAAACGUGGCGAUACAUUAGUUUCACGAGGCACUGGAGGCACUGGAGGCACUGGUGUACUGCGGUAUUUAAAGGGGUCCGAAUAAUCCUAGGACUGAAUUUUUAUUUUCUAGUUCUCUAGUUAUGGUAUUUAUUAACAUGGAGUUUGCAUGAUCAGUGGAAUGACCUCUUCGGAAGCCGAAUUGACAAUCAUGGAGUAUUUUAGAUCGAACUAGUUGGUGUUGUUGGAAAGAUGAACAGAGAGGUUGGCGAGCGGGAAUGAAGGAAUUCUGUAUGGUGACUGUCUGAUUGUGGAAUACUUUUGACUAUUUCUGAGGCUACGGUUGAAAAAUGUUCAUUAAACCUAUCUGAGAUUUCAACUGGAUCACUUGUUUGUUUACCAUCUACCAUAAAUAAAUGCUUUUGUGAACUGGGU